rnacentral:rRNA from 1 species
AUUGAACGCUGGCGGCAGGCCUAACACAUGCAAGUCGAACGGUAACAGGAAGAAGCUUGCUUCUUUGCUGACGAGUGGCGGACGGGUGAGUCAUGUCUGGGAAACUGCCUGAUGGAGGGGGAUAACUACUGGAAACGGUAGCUAAUACCGCAUAACGUCGCAAGACCAAAGAGGGGGACCUUCGGGCCUCUUGCCAUCGGAUGUGCCCAGAUGGGAUUAGCUAGUAGGUGGGGUAACGGCUCACCUAGGCGACGAUCCCUAGCUGGUCUGAGAGGGUGACCAGCCACACUGGAACUGAGACACGGUCCAGACUCCUACGGGAGGCAGCAGUGGGGAAUAUUGCACAAUGGGCGCAAGCCUGAUGCAGCCAUGCCGCGUGUAUGAAGAAGGCCUUCGGGUUGUAAAGUACUUUCAGCGGGGAGGAAGGGAGUAAAGUUAAUACCUUUGCUCAUUGACGUUACCCGCAGAAGAAGCACCGGCUAACUCCGUG